GCAGAAGGAGGAGUGGUUUGGCUGAGACACUGAAGAAAUCCAAAGAUGCUGAUGGCUCCACGUAGCGUUUGCUGCUGGACUCCAAAUCCCACCUGACAUGACACUGAUGAUGGAGGGAUGGGUGGCAGAGGGGCACACAGCAUUGUGCAGCAGCACACAUUGGCUUCCCAAGCUUUCCAAAGGUCUCAGAGAGCAUCUCCUGCUUCUUCCUGCUGAUCCUGCACUGGUGCCAGCCCACGUGGAUGGGGAUUCCUGUGCCCAGCCUGGGGCAGCCUCUCCUGAGCAGUGUUUCAUCAAGAUGUGAUGGAGACAGAACUGGAAUAAAUAAUGCUGGUGAGAAAUCACCAAGUCUUUCCCUUCCC